rnacentral:rRNA from 1 species
GACGAACGCUGGCGGCGUGCUUAACACAUGCAAGUCGAACGGAAAGGCCCUGCUUGUGUGGGAUGCUCGAGUGGCGAGUGGGUAAGUAACACGUGAGUAACCUGCCACUGACUGUGGGGUAACUUCAGGAAACUGGUGCUAAUACCGGAUAGUAGCUCCUGCUGCAUGGUGGGGGGUGGAAAGUUUCGGCGGUUGGGGAUGGACUCUCGGCUUAUCAGUUUGUUGGUGGGGAAGUGGCUUACCAAGGCUUGGACGGGUGGGCGGCCUGAGAGGGUGACCGGCCACAUUGGGACUGAGAUACGGGCCCGACUCCUACGGGAGGCAGGAGUGGGGAAUAAUGCACAAUGGGCGGAAGCCUGAUGCAGCAACGCCGCGUGCGGGAUGACGACCUUCGGGUUGUAAACCGCUUUCUCCUGUGACGAAGCGUGAGUGACGGUAAUGGGUAAAGAAGCAACGGCUAACUACGUG